GGGGCCGUGGCGCAAUUGGUAGCGUACCUGCCUUGCAUGCAGGGGGUUAGGGGUUCGAGUCCCCUCGGCUCCACCC
rnacentral:tRNA from 1 species